rnacentral:rRNA from 1 species
AUGUUUCGGCGUUGUAGACACGCGGCGCACGACCAUCCUUGGGCAGUGGUCGCACUUAAUGAGUGGCAACGGUGCGCCGACGAGCUUUUGGGCAAGCACCGAGCCUGGCCGACCGCCAUUCGUGUAUCUGCCGGUGGACCACCGACGGUGCAGAUCCGAGCGGCUAGAGGAGGAGCCACUGCCUGCAUGUGGCCUUGCGGCCCUGCCAGGGCCUUCCGGCGAGGUGCCCGGCCAGUCCAUGGCGCGGCCCGGCCUCCCAUAGCCGGGCGAGCUCAAGACCGACCGGAUCCGCCCCAAAUCCGGCCGGCGGGUGCGCAAACCAGGUGGCCGUGGUUGGGUAGCUCGGCGGCGCCGAGGGGAAGGGGCUGGGCGAGCGCGCGUCCGAACUGCACGGCUGCAAUGGCAGCGGCGGCGGCGGCAGCGAGGGGAAGAGUGUGGAAGAGUGGAGGAGGGUGCGACCGGAGGGAGGGAGGGGGGCGGAUAGAAAAAGGCCCGCCCUGUGCCACCGACGGGCGGGCCAGGGGAGGACACGCGCAGACGGCCCGCGCGUCCGCGUGGUGCCCGUUUCACCCCAAAAGCGGCGCAAACUUGGGCCGCGGAUGGGUCGAAAGCGGACACAAAACGGACAAAAGUCCGUUUGCUCCCGCGCGCUGGGCCGUCCGGUUUGUCCAUUUUACCCCAAACGGACAGGGCCGGACAGGACGGGGUCGCGCGGUGGAGUUGGCCUUACCUUCUACUUUGUGUGGACUUGCUUGGGCAUAUUCAGUAUGCACCACACAUAUUUCUUACUUACAUGCUUCGUUCUUUUCUGACAAUGAAAGGGCGCCUCUUUGGAAAAAAAGAUGCAAGUCUUUACUUUGCCUAAAAGAGCUGCAACAGUUAGAAGGAUCAACCGUUUAG